ACUUCGUGGGAAACCUCCUUCUGCAUGCCUCAGCCUCCUGAAAGCUCUGUCUGCAGCUGAGAAAUUGAAGCUCUGCAUCCAUACAGUAGUCCCCAGAACCUACCCAGUAUCUGACCUUCACAGUGACCUGAGGAAUCAGACUUCAGGGUCUGGAAGACAGGAACAAAGGAGUUCCUGAUGAGAUCCCAAAGCCAGAAGCUGUCACUCCAAAAGAACAGGCUUGAUCACUUUGGACUAUAAGCAACAGUUUGUACUGUCAUUGAGAGUAUUAGACAAGUGAACAACACAAGUUCCAACAACACAUCACUACUGAAGAUCAGCACCUAACACCAAGACAUCGCUGGAUCGAGGAGUGGUGAGCCACUUUACUUUGCUGUGAUUGUACAUCUGGCUGUCUGUCUCUCUUUCCCCAUUUUCUACCAUUUCUCUUUAUCUUCUUUGAUUCUUUUACUCUUUGAAGUAG
rnacentral:lncRNA from 1 species